rnacentral:rRNA from 1 species
GACGAACGCUGGCGGCGUGCUUAACACAUGCAAGUCGAACGGUAAGGCUCCAGCUUGCUGGGGUACACGAGUGGCGAACGGGUGAGUAACACGUGGGUGACCUGUCCUGCACUUCGGGAUAAGCCUGGGAAACUGGGUCUAAUACCGGAUAGGACCGCACCGUGAGGGUGUGGUGGAAAGUUUUUUCGGUGUGGGAUGGGCCCGCGGCCUAUCAGCUUGUUGGUGGGGUAAUGGCCUACCAAGGCGGCGACGGGUAGCCGGCCUGAGAGGGUGGACGGCCACAUUGGGACUGAGACACGGCCCAGACUCCUACGGGAGGCAGCAGUGGGGAAUAUUGCACAAUGGGCGGAAGCCUGAUGCAGCGACGCCGCGUGGGGGAUGACGGCCUUCGGGUUGUAAACUCCUUUCACCAUCGACGAAGGGUUUCUGACGGUAGAUGGAGAAGAAGCACCGGCUAACUACGUG